AUGUUAAAAAACACACCUGUGGAAGAGAUCAUGGCUGGUAAUUUCACCAGAAGCCUCACCAAGGAUGUCUUAAAGACAAUUUCAUCUGAGGUUAAAAAGAGUGCAAGGCUCCAUGAUGAUGUAAUGCUUGAACUCAUGCUUACACAAAAGGUCAUUAAAGAGAGCAGCAGUCAUGCAUCCUCAAAAGGCUAUCUUCAGCGCCUGCAAAUUGAUCCUUUUGCUGUACAUUUACAAACUGAUACUGGAAUCAAUAUUUUAGCUCAACAUUUAAAACAAACACCAACAGCCCUCUACCUUGAUGCUACAGGUGGUGUGGUGCAGAAAAUUCCUGACCAAAACAAAAGGGUACUGUAUUAUGCUCUAGUUUUGCCAGGCAUGGGCAAGGAUAAGCCUCCUUUGCCCGUCACAGAACUCAUAACCAACAGCCAUUCCAUUCCAUCCAUUUCCUAUUGGCUAAUGGAAUUCCAGAGGAAGUUGUCACAUACAACAAAAAGACGAAUAACACAGGUUGAGACUGAUUAUAGUUGGGCUCUAAUUAACAGCGUGCUUCUGUCCUUCAACAAGGAGAAUAUUUCAAUGUACCUCAUCAGAGCAUUUGGAAUAGUGUCUGGACAAAGUGAACAGAUUCCCAAGUUCACUGUGCUGCAUCUGUGCUCUGCACAUAUCAUGAAGGCUGUGUCACAAGCAUUUGGCAGGAAAACAGAAGACAGAGGCAUACAAGAAUAUGCAACAUUCAGUUUUGCUUACCUCCUGAACUGCACAAGUAUGCAGGUGGCCCAUGAGGUUUUUUAUCAUAUGUGUGUGCUUUUUGAUGCAGAGGAGUACACUCAUUUGGUGAAACAGAGCAAAACAUACCUCGGCAAGUGUGUUUUGAAAAUCCAGGACAUAAAGCUGGAAGAAAGUGGACAUGUGAUGGGAGAGGAGGAAAGCAACACUGAGAAAUCUGCUAACAGUGCUGUUGGAAAGUCACCUUUUACGCAUGCUUUUCAAGCCAGGCGUGACCAAGCACAGUGUGACAUCCUAACAGAAGAUCCUGUUGGCAUUGGCAUAAACAACCAUUACCUCUGUCCUGGUGUCAUCAAUGUGCUGUUUAAAAACUAUAUGGGAAUUUUCCCAUUGUGGGGUGGUUUGUUGCUUGGGGAUCUGUCACGGCAUGGAAAAUGCACAACCAUCGAAACAAAUGGAAGAGAAAAAACCAGGGAUACCAACUGCCAUGUUGAACUCUGGUUUGGUUUGGUCAAACACUCUAUCUUGUUAAAAAAAAAGUACCUGAGACCUGCAGAGUUCAUAUCCAAAAUGUUUGCCUCAAUGCAGGGAAGAUAUGUAGAGCACGUUGAGCAACAUAAUCUGCCAAUUCAGAUUCUGGAUAAAACAGUCACAAGUUCUCGCAGGCCAGAUGAUGACCAUGAAGAACAGUGGAAGAAGCGGGACAGCUCUACAGGUCAGUCCAAGUCCAAGUCCAAGUACUUCAAUCCACCAGAAAAACUACCAAACCCCAGGAGCCUACAUGCCAAAGAAGUGAAGAAAAGAAAAGAGGCUCAGGAUCAACAAGUUAAAGAUGCACAGGUAAAUAUUGUUUAA
rnacentral:lncRNA from 1 species